UAAGAGAUUCAACCAGCAGCAGAGGCACCAAGGACAGAAGGAAUUGUAACUGUAGAUUCUCACCCUGGGACUGUUCUGUGUUGUAAUUUGGCAGAGGUUCAUUCUGAGUAUGAGGUUGGGACUUGUUUGCAGCUGAUUUGCCUCAGAUAUGAGAUGCAGAGAUUGUUCUCUUUCACUGCACAGUACAAGUUGGAUGAGACUCCAGCUGAGAACAAUAAACAAACUUUUCAGAACUGCCAUACGCGUAAACUGAGAUAUAACACUUUUCCUGGCAUUCUCUGGAUGGAGAGAUGCUUUGCUGUAUGUAACAAUUCUUUGUAUCUAAACUGUAGU
rnacentral:lncRNA from 1 species